GGUAAACAAAACUCCGGCUGAAAAAAUGUGUUUCAUUUCGUAAAAAUCUGUUUUUAAAAGGGUGAAAUAGUCAAAACGUUUAUUAAAGAGUAAGCCGACAGGCCUGUGAGGAUGGUCCUUUACUGGAGGAGCAGGAGACGGAGGGUCAGCGGCAGCUGCACAGCCUCCUACUGCAGCAGCUCGACACAGAUGUGGACAUACAGAGAUGUUUAGCCAAAAGG